rnacentral:lncRNA from 1 species
UUCCUCAUGGAAAUCCUCCUGAAAGCCAUCACCCUGUUCCAAACAUGGAUGGCCAGAGUUCUUUGAUACCAGGGUAGAGCAUAUAACAAUAUGACCAAUUGAUGAACUUGCUACUACAAACUCAAUUAGGGGACUCCACUGCCAUACCCUCCUCCCAUGUAUGCUGCCAAUUUUGCUGGUACUAUGCUAACUGAGAGCCCUGUUUCUGAU